rnacentral:rRNA from 1 species
AACUAACAAGGAUUCCCCUAGUAACUGCGAGUGAAGCGGGAAAAGCUCAAAUUUAAAAUCUGGUGUCCUCUGGUCACCCGAGUUGUAAUUUAGAGAAGCGUCUUCCGCGCUGGACCGUGCACAAGUCUCCUGGAAUGGAGCCUCAUAGAGGGUGAGAAUCCCGUCUUUGGCACGGAUGCACCAGGGCUUUCGUGAUGCGCUCUCAAAGAGUCGAGUUGUUUGGGAAUGCAGCUCAAAAUGGGUGGUGAACUCCAUCUAAAGCUAAAUAUUGGCGAGAGACCGAUAGCGAACAAGUACCGUGAGGGAAAGAUGAAAAGCACUUUGGAAAGAGAGUGAAACAGUACGUGAAAUUGUUGAAAGGGAAACGCUUCAAGUCAGUCGCGUCGACCGAGACUCAGCCUCGCCUUGGCUUGGUGUACUUCUCGGCCGACGGGUCAGCAUCAAUUUUGCCCCUCGGAUAAUGGCAAGGGAAAGGUGGCACCUUCACGGGUGUGUUAUAGUCUCCUGUCGCAUGCGAGGGUUGGGAUUGAGGAACUCAGCACGCGCCUUUUGGUGUCGGGGCUUUGGCCCACGCUACGUGCUUAGGAUGCUGGCAUAAUGGCUUUAAACGACCCGUCUUGAAACACGGACCAAGGAGUCUAACAUGCCCGCGAGUGUUCGGGUGGAAAACCCGUGCGCGUAAUGAAAGUGAAAAGUUGGGACCUCUGUCGUGGAGGGCACCGACGCCCGGACCAGACCUUCUGUGACGGAUCUGCGGUAGAGCGUGCAUGUUGGGACCCGAAAGAUGGUGAACUAUGCCUGAAUAGGGUGAAGCCAGAGGAAACUCUGGUGGAGGCUCGUAGCGAUUCUGACGUGCAAAUCGAUCGUCAAAUUUGGGUAUAGGGGCGAAAGACUAAUCGAACCAUCUAGUAGCGGUUCC